AAAAAAACGACAGUCAGAACUUCAGCUAAGGUACAAUAAGCUUUUGCUGUGGCAUGGCACCUGGUCUCUUUCUAGAAGGAAAGUUCAACAAACAGCACAACUCUGGACACAUUGUAUUGGUUUGAUGACCCUACCUGGAACAGGUGGAGCUGGUCUCUUGGGCAGCCUGACAUCUGGUCCACUCCUCUGUCCUAUGCCGGGAUCAUCAUGACUGUAGAGAUUACGUCACUGUUUUGCAUCCUUAUUACAUAACUCAGUUCCUGGUAGAUUGUAAGUACACAGAAGGUGUUUUCUUAAUUAAAAAAUGGAUGAC
rnacentral:lncRNA from 1 species